rnacentral:rRNA from 1 species
UACGGGGGGAGCAAGCGUUGUUCGGAUUUACUGGGCGUAAAGGGCGCGUAGGCGGCCACCGCAAGUCGACUGUGAAAUCUCCGGGCUUAACCUGGAAAGGUCAGCCGAUACUGCGGGGCUAGAGUGCAGAAGGGGCAACUGGAAUUCUCGGUGUAGCGGUGAAAUGCGUAGAUAUCGAGAGGAACACCUGCGGCGAAGGCGGGUUGCUGGGCUGACACUGACGCUGAUGUGCGAAAGCUAGGGGAGCGAACGGG